rnacentral:rRNA from 1 species
GCUCAACGGAUAAAAGUUACUCUAGGGAUAACAGGCUGAUCGCUCCCAAGCGCCCACAGCGACGGAGCGGUUUGGCACCUCGAUGUCGGCUCAUCGCAUCCUGGGGCUGAAGAAGGUCCCAAGGGUUUGGCUGUUCGCCAAUGAAAGCGGUACGCGAGCUGGGUUCAGAACGUCGUGAGACAGUUUGGCCUCUAUCCUCCGUGGUCACAUAGAAACGUGAAGGAAGCUGCUCCUAGUACGAGAGGACCGGAGUGGACGAACCUCUGGUGUACCUGCUGUCGCGUCAGCGGCAACGUAGGAUAGCUAUGUUCGGCAGGGAUAACCGCUGAAGGCAUCUAAGCGGGAAGCCCCUCCUAAGAUUGCGUUUCUCCAUAGAGCCCGCCGCAAGACCAGCGGUUCGAUCGGCCACAGGUGUACGCACGGUAACGUGUUCAGCCGAGUGGUACGAACGGGCGAUUG